CUUACGUGUUGCUUAAACAAGUUGCCACAGUUUCCUCUUGAAACUGCAGCUGCAAAUUGAGAAGCCAGCACAAACUGAACAACUGGCAGCCAUUUCCAUCACCAAAUAAGCCAUGUUUGUUCUUUCAAACACCUCUCCCUCUCCCUCGCCCUUUAUCUCUCUUCAUCGGACCUACGCGGAAAGUCUUUCGAGUCUGCUUCCCAAAGGGCCGAAAUGCAGCGGAGGAUAGAGACAGAGCAUCGUAUUUCAUAGCCAAAGAAACUAAACAAGGAGAGUGUUCAGAGAGAGCCGAGGAAUGCGCAGAGAAGACAUGAAGUGAAAAAGAAGAACAAAGCUUAUGCGAGGACUGUGGCUGAUAAGGCAAGAGAUGGGACAACUGAGGUGAUGGAAACAGUGGGGAGCGUAGGAGCGAAGGCGAAGCACAAGGAAGAAGAUGAUGAAGGAGAAGAAGAAGAAGAAAAAG